UACAGAGCUUAUGGAAAAUCUUGUGCUGGUUGAAUAAAUGGUGCACUUAGAGUUCAAACACAAAAAAUAGAAGAUGAAGAUGAAGAAGAUAUGAAUCUAUUAGUAGCAGAGCCCUGGCGAAUUUUCCUCCUGUGACAGUCUAUGAGUGGAUGGCAUCCUCUAAUUGAACAGAAAAUGGAAAUCAGAUAUGGACUACAAGAUCUGGAUAGAUACAGGGAAAAAUCUCUGAUUCUACAGGGAUCAGCAGAAAUACUACCACGUAAAAUUUCCACCAGCCAAAAAAAAAGAAGGCAAGCCAAUUUGCAUGUGUUAGAACUGAGUCCCGUAAAUCCUUCAGUAAAGGAAAUCAAUGGAAGACCACAGCCAACAAGACAGACAAGAACAAAUGUGCAAGAAACACCAAACUGUGGAAAUACAGAAAGAGGGCAAACACAGUAAAUCCAAGAAGCACAAAAGAAUCCAAGAAAGACUAUACUCAAAAGGAUGGAAAACACCCAAUUUGCAGAAGACAAUAAACUGUAUAAAUCCAAAAAGAAAAAAAAAGCAAAAUAAUAAUAAAUAAAUAAGCAAUAAAUAUCAAGAGCAUGAGAUGGAGUCCUUGAAAGUGAGCCCAAAGGUUCAGUGAUGGGGUAAGUAAAGCUAACUGAAGCUACCCCCUCUAGUUCAAGAGCCUGAUGGUUGAAGGGUAAGAAUUAUAACUAAACCUGGUGGUGCAGGUCCUGAGGCUGCUGUAUCUUCUUCCUGAUGGCAACAUCAAGAAGAGAGCAUGACAUGGGUGGUGGGGGUCCUUGAUAAUGGAUGCUGCUCUCCUGUGACAGGUUCUCCAUUUAGAUAUCCCCUGUGGUGGGGUAGGUUUACUCGUAACGGAUUGGGCAAUAUCCACAUUUUUUUUGUAGGACUUUCUAUUUAAGAGCACUGGUGCUUCCAUACCAGGCUGUGAUGCGACCAGUCAAUAUACUCUCCACCACACACCUAUAGGAGAUUGUCGAAGUUUUAGAUAUCAUGCUGAAUCUUUGCAAGCCUCCAAGGAAGUAAAUUGCUGUGCUUUCUUCAUGAUGGUACUUACAUGCUGGGCCCAGGACAGUUCCUCUGAAAUAUUUACAUCGGGGAACUUAAAGUUGCUGACCCUCUCCAUCUCUGAUGCCCUGAUGAGGAGUAGCUCAUGGACCUCCUCCUGAAGUCAAUAAUCCUCCUUGGGCUUGCUGAUGUUGAGUGAGAGGUUGUUGCAGCACCAUUCAGCCAGAUUUUCAAUGUCCCUUAAUAUGCAAAGAUGCUGAUUUGUCACCGUGUUUGACUCAGCCAACAACAGUGCUGACAUCAGCAAAGUUAAAUAUGGCAUGGGAACUAUGCUUGGCCUCACAGUCAUAAGUAUAAAGUGAGUAGAGCAAGGGGGCUAAGCACACAGCCUUGUGGUAUAUCUGUGCUGAUGGAGCAGAAUCUAGACCACCAGCAAAAAAAUUGGGCUGAAAAAUGGCAGAUGGAAUUUAACAUAGAGAAGUGUGAGGUUUUGCACUCAGGUGGGGUGGAAGGGACUAAACGGAAUAAUAGCUCAGCAUGGACUAGAUGGGCUGAAGGGCUUGUUUCUGUGCUGCAGUACUCUGUGAUGAUUAUUAUGAAAAGAAAUGUUUUUACUCAGAGGCUUGUAGAGACUCUGUCAUGAAGUAAUUUCAAGAUUGAGAGAGAUUCAUCUUUGGAUAUUAAGGAAAUCAAAGGAUAUGGGAUUAGUUGCUGAAAGUGAUGCUAAAGUAAGCAUUCUAUUGCAUGGCAGUGUUGGUGCGAGGGGUGAAUGUCCCUAUUUCUUAUAAAUAACAGUGGUGGCUGGACAGUUUGGAUGCUAAAAUAUGAAGAAGAGUUGGCAUAAAGAGUGAUGAACUGGAAUAGACUCAUGAUGGCAGACUGAGAGGAUGUAAAUUAUUCACUGAUCAGGAUAUAGGUGAACGUGUUACCAUGACCACAUUUCCUGAUCUGCUGAAGUGGCAGCAUAGAUUCCAUGAGUCUGGGCCCUCCUCAGCUGCUGAGUUCAACUCUGCCUUCUUCCUCUCAUGACCCCCCCCCCCCACCCCCGUCAGCAGAGAAAUUAAUCGCCUUGUACAUUUUUCAUCGUGGAUCAAAAGAGGGACGUGCAUAUUAGGAAAAUGCCACUUAGCUUUGGUCACAGCUGAUUUGAUGUCACCUCAAUUAAGCAAGAUACAAUUAAUUAUAUGAGUUACAAUGAAAUAUAAUUUGCAGCUUUUACACAAUAACAGCCUGUUAUAACAGAUGAAAUGUCUUUCAUCUGCUUUUCUGAUUGCUAGAGGGAAGACUACCUCCAGGCCUGACAUAACUUGCCUUGUCCUAAAAUGAGCUCAUUUGCUCUGGAGGGUAAUGCUAGGAUAUAGUCUCCUCACACAGCAGCAACUUGUGGUGAUAUUUUUCCUGCCCAUAUGGCACAAGAUGUCCUUUGCAGUCUAAAAUGGAACUGAAUAACCAAAUGAUUACUAGAGUAAUAAUCAGUCUUUCUUUGCACUACCGCUAAAACUGGACGUGGCAGGACUGACUUUGGGGUGCGGAAGGCAAUGGGGUUGUUGUUUAGGUGACCUAUUCCUGGUCCUAUUUUCCUUCAUUGUGUUCCAGUGAGAUUUCUUUGUUCUGCUGCUCAUCUCCUGUUCCAGGAAAGCAUUUGCACUAUAACUGUAGCGUAGCAAUAUGAAUGCUUCCCUGAAAUUCAUGCAUCCCCAUUUAAAAGGGUGUGACCCAGUUGAUUGAAACCUCUGAAAAUAAAAUGUGGGAUUUCAUUGGGUUGCAGUUUUUAUUUAGUACACUCAGAGCCACAGUCCUAAAAGUUGCAUAGAGGGUUGAUUCAGAGGUGAGUGAACUUUAGUUAACACUUAGGUCAUGCUUCUUUAAGCUGCAGAUUUCUUGGAAAUUUUUUGCAUUUGAGUCCACAAGCUCUUGCCACUGGCAGCCCACAUAGCCAUGGGAUUAAACUUUCUCCCUUAAUAUCAUAUAGAAUCUUGGAAUUGCCUACUCAGAAUGCACAGUAUAGUAUAGUGAGAUGAAGGGAGGCUAUUAUUGUAUUGUGGGACAUUCGCCGAUCAACACUGGUGCACCUUGGGAUGUGUGCUUAGCCCACUGCUCUGCUCUCUUUAUACUCAUCACUGUAUGGCUAGGCACAACUCCAAUGCCAUCUAUAAAUUUGCCAAUGAUACGACCAUUGUUGGCAGAAUCUCAAAUGGUGAUGAGAGGGUGUGCAGGAGGGAGACAUACCAACUGAUUGAGUGGUGUCACAACAACAACCUUGCACUCAUAGUCUGUAAGAUGAAAGAGAUGAUUGUGGAUUUCAGACAAGGGAAGGUAAGAUGAGGGAUUACAUACUAACCUUCAUAGGUGGAGCAGAAAUGGAGAGAGUGAGCAAUUUAAAGUUCCUGACUGUCAGUACCUCUGAGGAUCUAACCAGGUACCAACGUAUUGAUGCAACUAUAAAGAAGGCAAAUCAGCGACUAUAUUUCACCAUGAGUUUCAGAAGAUUUGGUUUAUCACCUAAACACUCAAAAACUUCUACAGAUGUACCAUGGAAAGUAUUCUGGCUGGCGGCAUCACCAUAUUGUAUGGAGUGGUGGGGGGGGGGGGUGUUACUGCACAGGAUCGAAGUAAAUUGCAGAGAGUUACAAAAUUAGACAGCUCCAACAUGGAUACUAGCCUCCCAUCAUUUUCAAGACACCUUCAAGGUGCAGUGCCUCAGAAAAUCAGCUUCCAUCAUCAAAGACCCCCACCACCCAGGACUUACCCUCUUCUCAUUGUUACCAUCAGGAAGGAGGUACAGAAGUCUGAAGGUACACAGUGAUUGAAGAACAGCUUCUUCCCUCACUAUCUGAUUUCUAAAUGAAUGUUGAACCCAUGAACUCUAUCUCUACUUUUUUUUCAAAUAGCUGUUUUUGCACUGGUUAAUUUAACUAUUUAAUAUACUCUGUGUCUGUAUAUAUGUAGUAAUUCAGUAUUGUUUCUAUACUUAUCAUGUAUUGCUGCCACAAAUUUAACAAAUUUUGUGACAUAUUCUGGUGAUAUUAAACCUGAUUCUGAUUCUAAUUUGGUAACUGAACUCUGAACAAGGUGAAAGGUCAGAUUGAGCUAAUUAUUUCCAAAUUAAUUCCUUGGAUUCAUUCUCUGAAUUAAGUUCUCCAAAAGUGUUUGUUACCUUGUCUUGCUCUGCAAGUUAUUUGCCAUCAUGCAUUAUAUUCAAGUUCACAGAAUGUUUCUGUUCAGCCCACUGAACUGUUUGUGCUCACAUUCGGGAUCCUUCUGUGAUGAAUUUGCAGGUGCUGGCAUUCCAAUCUGCAAGCCAUGUUGAAAAAGCAAGAACUCAGCAGCCAUUCUAACCCUGAGUCUAUCAGUAUUUGCAUUUCUAUAAACAAUCCUCAGAUGUUAUUCUAUUCUAAAGAUGUACUGUGAAUGUAAUUGGUCAUACAGUGAUACAUCUUUAAAUUGGAAUGGUUUUUCACAGACUAUGUAUGUAACUGAUUUCUCAACAGGAACCUAAAACUUUUGAAAAUAUUCCCAAAUCGUUUUGUAGAACAUAAUAAAAUAUAGCAAUUUUAUACAAGUGGAUAUCAAACAUGUAUUUUCACAUUCAGCACAGAGAUAUAUAACUGAAGCACUAGAACUCUCAUAGUACUAGAUGUCACACUUUAACUGGGAAUGUACAAUGAUCUUUUAGUCAGGUAGAGAACCCAUUUAGAUUUGUUCUGUCCAGCCCAAAGAAUAGAGAUGUUGGAUGGAGAGGUAGAUUAUAGAGUAUUAUAGUAACAUUUUCUCCUACACAAGCUACAUAAUUUAAAUAGUAGUUAGAUAUUCAUCAUACAAACUCUUUAAACUUCAAUAGGUUAAUAUUGUGCUCCAUGAUCUUUGGACUUUAGAGUAGGUUCAUCAUGGUAUGUGUUGGAUGUCAUUGGUCCAAAAUAUCAUUAAAUAAUGCUAAAGCAAGUAGCAAUGAUAGAUUUUAGUUGCUGUGAAGUAAACAGAGGAAGGAGUUGUGUGUGUUGAUGAGGUUAGAUAAAAUAACAUUGCGUGAUGCUCAUGUGAUACUGUUGGAGUAAAUAGCUUAUGUUUUGCUGCCCAAUCCAUGCAAUUUGAAGUAAAAAAAAGCAUGUGGUUUAUGCAGAACAACUUUUUGUCUUGAAAGCCAAGUUCUGUGACUUACUGAAUUACAACAUGAAUUGUUGAAGAUGCUCAACAUUUUCAGCAGGAUCUUUCAAGAAGGAAACAUUUUUUAUAACAUUUUUAUUGAUGCCUGAAUUCUUCCCACAUUUUCCAUUUUGAUUUUAGAUUCUUUAUUUCUCCUAAGGGUAGUGUUGGAAAAAAAUUAUUUUUAUUUUUCACCUGUAUAUUGAAGCAUCAACAUAUACAAUGAAAGGAAGUCAGUGUUUCUUUAUUACCAAAGAACCCGGCGCUGCAAUCAAUGAAUUGUGACUAAAUUAUUGUUUUAUCCAUGUGCUUGCUUCCAGUUAUUUGGAACAUUCACAACAGUCAUCUUUGCACCUUGUGAUCAGGAAGAAAUUUCCUAUUAACACGUUAUUCAGCUUCCAUGACAGUCAAAAAACACAAUUACAACUUGAGGUAUAAGUGGAUGAAAGCAGAACUGGUUCUUAUAUGGCUCAAUGGAACUGCUUAUGAAAAAUUAUUCUAAAAUAACCUUUAUUAUAGUCAUGGAUAUGAAUGUUCCAUCUGGACCUUGCAGAUUUUCUUAAAGUGACAUCAGUUGUCAACAUCCAUUGACAGAGGAAGUGGGAAUUAUGAUGACAUGAGCAGAAUUUGCAUCACCCACUCAGAAUCUUAUCACAGUUAAAUUCAACCACAAGCUGUUAAGAUUUUUUUCCAUUAGCAGUAAUCAGAUGCCCAUACAUGUCAAUGAAAUAAAAGAUGGGCCCAGUACAUCAUGAGUAAAGCCCUUCCAACAACUGAGCACAUCGAAAUGAAACACUGUUGUAGGAAAGCAGCAUCCAUUAUCGGAGAUCUCCAUCACCUAGGUUAUACUCUCUUCUCGCUUCUGCCAUUAGGUAGAAGGUACAAAAGCCUCAGGACUCACACUACCAGAUUCAAGUUAUUACCCUUCAACUAUCAGGCUCUUGAAAAUAAAAGGAGAUAACUGCACUCACAUGGCCCAUCAUUUUAAUGUUUCUACAAACAAUGGUCUCACUUUAAGGACUCUUUAUGUCAGAAUCUCAUGUUCUUAUUUUUUAUUGCAAUUUAUUUAUAUUUGCAUUUGCACAUUUUGUUAUCGUUUGCACUCUGAUUGAUCUUCCAUUGAUCCUGGUAUGGUUUCUGUUCUGUAAAUUUGCUGAGUAUGCCCACAGGAAAAUGAAUUGCAUGGUUGUCUAUGGUGACAUACUUUGAUAAUAAAAUUGACUUUCGGCUUUGAUAUAUGCGUCUU